UGCGCCCUUUGGUUCCUUUGGGUGGUGGCUCUUGGUCAUUGGGGUCCCUUGGGUGCUGGUUCUUGGGUCCCUUGGGUGGUGGCACCCAGGUCCCCUUGAGUGGUGGCCCCUGGACACCCAAGUCCCAUUGGGUGGUGGCACCUUGGUCCUGUUGGGUGGUGGCUCUUGGUCAUUGGGGUCCUUUGGGUGAUGGUCCUUGGGUCCCUUGGAUGGUGGCACUUGGUGGCUCUUGGUCAUCUUGAUCCCGUUGGGUGGUGGUGGCACCCAUGGGGACGUCCCCACCACCUCCUGGUCCCUUGGGUCCCUAGGGUGGUGGUGGCACCCAUGGGGGCGUCCCCAACGCCUCCUGGUCAACCGGGUCCAUAGGGUGGUGGUGGCACCCAUGAGGACCUCCCCAACCCCUUUUUGGGUCUUGGGAGGGUCUCAACACCUAUGGGAUGGAGCCCACCAGGUCCCUAGGGUGGUGGUGGCACCCAUGGGGGCGUCCCCACCACCUCCUGGUCCCUUGGGUUCUUUGGGUGUUGGUGGCACCCAUGGGGACGUCCCCAACCCCUUUUUGGGUCUUGGGAGGGUCUCAGCAACGUGGGAUGGAGCCCACCAGGUCCCUAGGGUGGUGGUGGCACCCGUGGGGACCUCCCCAACCCCUUUUUUGGGUCUUGGGAGGGUCUCAGCACCCAUGGGAUGGAGCCCACCUGGUGACUGAGGUCCUUAGGGUGUUGGUGGCACCCAUGUUGACGUCCCCAAACCCUCCUGGGUCAUCAUGA
rnacentral:lncRNA from 1 species